ACGGUCCCGGGCGGGGAGACUACGUCACUUCCGGGCGGGGUGCCGGGGCGGUGAGGAGGAAGAAAAUGGCGGCAGCACCGGUUUCGCUGUCGGGCAGGUUCAAGGGAUCAUUUGCAUAUUUUACAAUUAAAGAUAGACUACCCCAGAUCUUAACCAGAGUUAUUGAUACUUUACAUCGACAUAAAAAUGAAUUCUUUGAAAAACAUGGGGAGAAAGGUGUUGAGGCAGAGAAGAGGGCUAUAUCUUUCCUCUCUAAAUUACGGAAUGAAUUGCAAACGGACAAACCAAUGAUCCCUUUGAAUGAUGAGCUUCCUGAUACUCCAAUAUGGAACCAGUACCUAGAAUAUCAAAGAAAUGUAUCAAAUGGAAAUGGACAGCCAAGCUGGUUUCAGUCCCCUUGGCUAUAUGUAGAAUGUUACAUGUACCGUAGAAUUCAUGAAGCACUAAUUCAUAAUCCACCUAUUGAUGACUUUGAUCCAUUUAUGGAAGCAAAGAUUCAAAGUUUUUUUGAAUCCCAACAGGCUAUUAUUGCUGUAUGCACUUACUUGCAGGAACUCCUUAAAAACAUAGAGGACCUAAAUGAAAAUCAACUUAAGGAGGAAUUUUUUAAGCUGUUGCAGGUUUCAUUGUGGGGAAAUAGGUGUGACCUUUCCAUUUCAGCUGGUGAAGACAACUCUCAGAAAUCCAGCCUUCUGCAGUCCUUAAAUGAUUUUAAAUCUUUCAUCUUGGUGGAUGACAUGGAAAACCUUUGGUCACUGCUUUUAAAUUCCAAGAAAAGGACAACCACCAAAGAAUCUAUUACAAGAGUUGACAUGAUCCUGGAUAAUGCUGGCUUUGAACUUAUAACUGAUCUAGUACUGGCUAACUUCUUGUCGUCAUCAAAGUUAGCUACUGAAGUCCAUUUCCAUGGAAAAUGUAUUCCGUGGUUUGUAUCGGAUACCACAAAGCAUGAUUUUAACUGGACUCUUAAGCAACUGCAGUCAGCUAAUCAUAUGUGGAUGUCUAGAUGUGGGAUGAAUUGGGAGGGGAAUUUAAAAAAAGGUGUUUGGGUUUACCAUGAUCACAUGUUUUGGACUCUGCCACAUGAAUUUUCUAGUAUGGCUCAGGUUGCUCCUGACUUGUAUGCUGAACUGCAGAAAUCAAGUGUAAUUAUUUUUAAAGGUGAUCUGAACUAUAGGAAACUAACAGGAGAUAGAAAAUGGGAGUUUACAGUUCCAUUUCAUCAAGCCUUGAACAAAUUUCAUCCUGCACCUCUCUGCAGCAUAAGAACUCUAAAAGCUGAAAUUCAGGUUGGUCUGAAACCUGGGCAAGGUGAACAACUUGCAACUUCUGAAUCUGAAUGGAUGAUCAAUGGAAAAUAUGGAAUAAUUCAAUUUGAUGCGUCUGUGUGAUUGUUGUGCAGUUCAUAAACUAUCCAAAGGUAGAUAGGUAGCUUUUUAAAUUGCGCUGUUUCAGAGACAGCUACAUGGGUAUUGACUAUUUCUACUGGUCAGGUUUGGCUUUAAAAAAUCAUUGGUUUUCAGUUUACCUAUUAUGCUUCUUUUGCAAAGUAGCUUGCUAUCGUUUUACGAAGGAAACGGAUGUGCAACAGUUCUUUCUUGCUAACAGAUUAUUAAAAUGUAGAUUAUUUAUUUUACAAAAUGUCAGCAGAAAAUCUCGAAGAUAUGAAUGUGGCUUCAGUUGUCUACAAAAGUUCUUUGUUAUUCAGUAAAGAUAUUUGAAUGCAGGUCUGCUGUAGGGAGAGGCUUCACCUUGUGCUACUCUAGCAGCCUUGGCCAGCAUUUUUAAUUGCUAUGCAUUGCAUGGAAAUGCAUGUUUUUUGGAAUGCAUGAAACUAAUUUCUGGGGUUUCUGCAUCAUUGCAGCUGGGGUCUUAUUUUAAAGCUGUUGAAAUUGAGUUGUCUCUUACAAAUAACAUUUUACAUAAAACUGAUAACCGUUUCUUAUGUUUUGUGUCUGCAAAUAGUUCUGUUUGUUGGCUUUACCAUAAUGAAAGCUUGGUUUAGUCGGCAGUGGAUUAAGGGAGGAUCCUUUGGUGGGAGACAUUACAUCCUACAAAGAAGACAUAAAUGAGGCAGAACCGUAAGACUCAGCAAGUGUACCCCUUCUGGCGGCAGCCAGAGACAGAGUCAGAGGGAGAUGUGCUUGCACGCAGCAGCCGGGGGUGCUUGCAUGUGGCAGCUGCUGCCACCACCCACUACCCCAGCGGUGGAGUCUGAGGUAAGGUACUGUACUUGUUUGUUCCAUAUAACGCAGAAAAGACCGUGUGUGUGUGUGUGUGUGUGUUUCUUAUGGUCUCAAAAUUAAGAUUCCUUUAACUGCCACAUGCAAUCCCCCUCCCCCCCCAAACCUGCUUGCCCCCCUGGCCUUGCUCCUGGGAGGGGGCAUAGAAACAAACUCUACCCCCCUGCUAUUGAGAUCCUUGCAGCACCCAGUGCACCCCCCUGUCUCCCCCUCCCCUGGCUAAGAGGCAAACGCAUAAGGGGAGAUGCUGCCACCGUGCCCUGGGGCACGCCCCAUCCCUUCCUGCCCCCGUGCACCCCCAAAGACCUUUUUAAGUACCCCUGGGGGUAUGUGUACCCCUGGUUGACAAGCCCUGAUCUAAGCAUCAAGUUCCACACCUUAUAGGUAAAAUCCUGGCCUUUUUAAGCCAAGGCAGUUCAGAUUUUUUUUUCUUUUUAUCCAACACCUUCCUCAAGUGAAACCAGAGUACUUUGCUCUUUAACUUGCUUUAAUGGCUAUAUCUUCAAACCUGACUUUUGGCCAAAAAUGAGACUCAUUUUCCUUCAUAUUUUAUUUACUUAGCCUUCCCUUUUGGGUCGGAGGAGGGGGAGAUCUUUUUAUCGUGGAUCAACCCAUUAUGGCCUUGGUUACUGCCCCUCCACGUAAUGGUACAACAGGUAACAAGUUUCUUCUUCACACUAGACCCUCCUUAGUUCCUCCACCAAACCUGUUCCUAGCUCCUAGAACCUUACCCUGCUCAGAGAAGGCCCUUGUACCUGAGUGGACAGGUUAAAGCCACUCCCUCAUGAUGCCAGUUAACACUUCUAUUGAGAUGUGAGGGACAAUGACAAGUCUCCCUUUAAAUUUGGGGCACAGGAAGUUAGAGACUUGAGCUCCACUAAGAUGUCUUCAUCAGUAACUGAUGCUUGGAUCGAUCCUGUUUUAAAUAUAAGCUGAGUUCUAAGAGAAAACCCUUCCUAGGUCUCUUGUUUUGGAAGGGAUGACUGGUAAAGAACCUCAUCUGUUGGACUGCCAUCUUACUUUUUUUUUUAGCCAUGUGUCUUGUAGUAAUGUGCAGAGGCCUUAAGUGGAGCCUACUGAGCAAAUGUAGUAAAUCUCAGGCCCUAAAUCACACAGAUUGUAUUUUUAGUAUAUGGAAAAAAUGAAACAUCAUGCCUUAUUCAAAAAGAAGGCUUUGACCCACAGGAAAAUUUAAAUAAAGCCCCACUGAUUCAGCCCAGAGUUGCAGAUCACCUUGUGAGGUAUGGUUUUCCAUCAGCCCUGACUGAGUUGACAGCUAACACAAACAAUUAAGAUCCUUGUGAUAUAAUAUUUUUUUAAGAAAUGAAAAGCGAAACUAAAUUAUUUCAUUACAUCCAGUUUAACCUUCAUCAGCAAUAGACAUCAUUGAUUUUCAAACAUAAAAUGUGAGACCUUUCUGAUUUCUUGUAACAAGACAAUGCAAUUACAGUUGCGUUUUAAAUUAUUGAAGAAGUUUGCAUGUAAAUGUUAUUAUUUGAAUUAUUAUUGUUAUUUGAUUAUUUGAAAGAUUAGUGGAAGCAAGAUCAGAUCUAGAUUCAUAUUUGAGCAAAUCCUAAACCACUAAUAUUCUAAACCUUGUACCUGCUUUUUCAAAAACCAAAUCCGAGUGGUCCAUUCUGUAUAGGUAUCAUAACCUUCUACAAAGUUUCUUUCAGUAUCUACACUUUUUUGCUUUUCUCUUAUUAAUAAUUUAACUCGAGUGAACCAAAACUUGCUGUUGUAUGAGAGCAUUUUGAUGCCCUGUUCCACCACAUAUAGUUCUGCCUUUCAUUGUUUUAAUAUGGAUCUUGAGUUCAUCAAAUAAAGUAAGAAAAAUGUAUCUAUUUUCAGUCAUGAGCAUUCUAGGAAUAAACAGUAGAUGGAUACAGUAACCUUGGAAAUGCAUAUUUACCCAGGAUAAACCAUACGUAUACUAGUAACUAUGCUUAUUUUUUAAACUUAUUUGCAAAUACUUACUUGAUGAGUGCUUCCUGGACGUUUUUCUUGUUAGCUGAUCACCCACAAUUCUUUUAUCUUUCAACACUUUGAAAGUCAACUUUUUUUUUUCUAUACUUUAUCAUGCCUUGCAGGAUGCCUCCUAGGGUCGCAGAGCUGGGAGAGAACACAUUUAAUAGCACUCUGGCUUGGGGGAGGCACUGCCGCUUUUGUUCAUUUAGUCAGAUGAGCAUAAGCAUGGCCAGACUACUUGAAGGAUGUUGGACAGGAUACAUUCUCCCACAGGGGUCAGAAGAAGGUGCUCCAAAGUCAUCGGGUUGGAAUACCAGCCAAAUAAUAAGCAUUUUACUAUAAAAAUGUGAACUUAGCCAGUGCUAGAAAGCUGUUUUGAAAAAGCAAAGCAUGUCAGGAGGUAUAUUUGUUGCAGCCCCUCUUCUUCAAUGGGAAGGACUCUGCUGCAUGUGCCUCACUAUAGGAGCUGUGCUUAGCUACAGAGCCAUAAGAGCUAUUUUAAAGCAGAAGUUGGAUUCUGGAGAGGUGUAAAGAUACCUGUGCCACAACCAAGGAAGUAAACAGCUCAAAUUCAUUAGUAGUUCCUCCGUUUUUCUCUAAGUCCACAGCAAAGCAGUGGCGCAGUGGGAGGAUCAGCAUAUGAAGGCAAUGUAACUGUAGAAGAAGUAAAUAAAGUCUACUUGGUAAGAAGAGGUGGUAUGGAAAACCAUCUACCUGCAUUUCCACAGAGUUCAACUAAUGGAGACUAGCUCAGAGAGCUAGAGAUAUUCUGCUCACUAAACAAUGACUUGAGGCACUGUUGGCCCUGAUUCUUAUCUUCAUCUGAAGAAAAGUGAUGAAGGGAGGCAGCCUUGUAUUGCACCUCUUUCCCAGGCCCUGGAAGCCACAGAAGCAAAGUGAAAACAAGAGUUGAUAAGGACUGUACAUUUCCAACACCUUAAAGAUAUAGAAGAAAACAUCUCUACUGGAAGAGUCUUGUUCCCAUGUCACUUUCUUUGGGUGGCAUCUAUCUUGAAUUAUCAAAGCAGCCUGAACUCUGUUGGGACCACAAUGUAGUCUGCAAGUCUAACCUGAAAUUUACUUGUAGUAAGGCAAACUUCCCUGCAUACACUAUAACCAGGGAUCCCAGUUUCCUCUGAUAAAA